rnacentral:rRNA from 1 species
AGGGAAUAUUGCGCAAUGGGGGAAACCCUGACGCAGCCACGCCGCGUGAGUGAGGAAGGCCUUCGGGUCGUAAAGCUCUGUCGCCCGGGAAAAACAAGCGGUUUAAUUAAUCGCCCUGAUUGUACCGGGAGAGGAAGUAGCGGCUAACUCUGUGCCAGCAGCCGCGGUAAUACAGAGGCUACAAGCGUUGUUCGGAUUAACUGGGCGUAAAGGGCGCGUAGGUUGUAAGAGGAGUGUGAUGUGAAAGCCCCGGGCUUAACCUGGGAAGUGCAUCGCAAACGCUCUAACUAGAGUACAUGAGAGGGUGUUGGAAUUUCCGGUGUAGCGGUGAAAUGCGUAGAUAUCGGAAGGAACGUCGAUGGCGAAGGCAGACACCUGGCAUGAUACUGACACUGAAGCGCGAAAGCGUGGGUAGCGAACA